UCCCUGAUGGUCCAGUGGUUAGGACCCCGCGCUUUCACUGCAGAGGGCCCAGGUUCAACCCCUAGUCAGGGAA